rnacentral:rRNA from 1 species
UACGGGGGGGGCAAGCGUUGUUCGGAAUUACUGGGCGUAAAGGGCUCGUAGGCGGCCAACUAAGUCGGACGUGAAAUCCCUCGGCUUAACCGGGGGAACUGCGUCCGAUACUGGAUGGCUUGAGUUUGGGAGAGGGAUGCGGAAUUCCAGGUGUAGCGGUGAAAUGCGUAGAUAUCUGGAGGAACACCGGUGGCGAAGGCGGCAUCCUGGACCAAUACUGACGCUGAGGAGCGAAAGCCAGGGGAGCAAACGGG